CUCAGCCUCAUCUCCCUCUUUCCCUUCCUAGAUCGCCCCAUCCUCUCCCGAUCAGGAUCAACACACGGAGCCCUGCUCGUUCAUCCAACCACACCGCCGUCGUCCUGGAAGCUGCAUAAUUUUAUUUUCCCCACUCGUAGCUGGGGCAACCAGCGCCAUCUACAUUGCACCAACCUCCCCUUCGCCGGUCACGAAGACACUGGAGCAAUGUUGACCCUCUCAUUCAAGCCAUGAGCCAUGGAUGCAAGCGAGCACGGCCAAGCUUUUAGCUUUUCUUCUUUAUCGGUCAUGGAUUUCGUAGACCGUAUUAUUAUGCUUUUUGGCAUCCAAUCACUGUCCAGUUUGUGGAUAAUCUAACAAGGAGCCCCGUGUCCAAGAAGCUGCCGUGGUGAAUCGACGACAAAACCAAGCCCAAAGAUGGCUCCUUUUCCACCUUUCUUUACUGUCUCCCUUGUCUUUGCUGAUCUACCGCCUGAGCGGCCGUCGGAUCGCCACCAGUUCGAUCUAUGAUUUGCUAGGGAGGUAGAUGUCGCUGCGUGUGGAGCAAGACUACAUAGGCUCCUCGGAGCGGGAGUUUUCCGUUGGAGGCGCCGAGGAAGGGGCUCUCAACCUCAGGGCGACGGAGCUCAGGUUGGGGCAGCCUGGGUCAGAGUCGCACCACCGGGACGACAAGGUCGGGCUAACCCUAGAUCUUCUCCCCAAGAGCUUCGCCUCCGGCGCCAAGAGGGGGUUCUUCGACGCCAUCGAUAAUGCCGGGAAGUGGGAGUGGGGCCUUGCGGUCGGCGAGGGCGGGUCUGAGGUGGACUUGGUGAAAGGCGGCUGCUUGUUAUCAACCUCGGGCCAGGCCUCAGAACAAGGGAAUGUAGGGAAGGUGGCAGCUCACUGCGGCGGUUCCAUUGGGAGAGAUCGCUCGGUGGCUCCGGCGGCGAAGAGCAUGGCGCUACUCCUGGAAGAGAUGGGUUUCGGACCUGGAUAAUUUUGAGGAAAAAAGGCAAACCAUCAUGUAUAGAAUAAGGAAGCAAUGGCCGUGCAAUGUUGUACCAACAAUCUGCAAAUACUGGCCUAUCUCCAUUAGGGGUGCACACAGAGCUUCUUGGAACUGAUGUUGCAGAAGGUUCACCAAGCUGAAAUAACACCAAGACCAGAGAAUGGUUCAUGCUUAUAAAAUACAGGAACUCAUUGUCCAUAAUUGAGCGAUUUAUUUUACUUUAACAGAUUGCUUCCCAAAGAUGACAGUGAUCCAAUGAUUCUUUGCUGGGUUUGAUAUGAAUGAAGAAAUUGCAUAUUUAGUAUCCACACUUCUACUUUUUGUGUGAAGGCUUUUACACUAUUUGUCUUUAGGUCUCCUUAAUAGUUGUAACUAAGGGUUUGAUGUUGUUUCUCCCUGUCAAAAUGUAUUAAUUGGCUGCUAUAUGAAACAUGUCUAUUUUUUCCUCUAAUUAUUUCUAUUUUAACUAAUAUAUUACUUAUUUUUGAAGUACAUGAUGAUUUGUUGUUGACUUGCAUACAAAAGAAGAGAAGUUUAUUUACUAUGUGCAGUUCUUGUUUGUGUGAACUCUUAAUCAUUUUCUAUUUAUUUCAGGUUCUUCAUAACAUUACUGUUGCAGAAUACUUUUACUGGAAUAUGCUACGUGAUUCAAUAACUCCUAUUUUUCCAUUGGACUGUUAAUCUCUUUUUGAUUUUGUGGAUAACUUUGCUGCAAACUAUGCUCUGAAGAGAGUUUAUUAUGUCAACUAUGCAUUGGGGAUAUCUGGACGCAGGAAACCUUGCUGGCAUCUAUUAUGAACAAAGUCAACUUGACAUGGCAAUUUUGCAUUACAAGCAAGCUAUCAAUUGUGAUUCUACCUUUAUUGAAGCUUACAAUAACUGGUAAGUUGAUAAUGGUCUAAUAUGUCAAAAUGUGGUAUCCUUCUUUAUGGUGAGCCAGGUUAGUUAAUGAUCGACUUUCUU